CCAACGGGAGAAAGGGGGCUUCGGCUCCCGCUAUCGGAUGAGCCUAUGUCGGAUUAGCUAGUUGGUGAGGUAAAGGCUCACCAAGGCAACGAUCCGUAGCUGGUCUGAGAGGAUGAUCAGCCACAUCGGGACUGAGACACGGCCCGAACUCCUACGGGAGGCAGCAGUGGGGAAUAUUGGACAAUGGGGGCAACCCUGAUCCAGCCAUGCCGCGUGUGUGAAGAAGGCCCUCGGGUUGUAAAGCACUUUCAGCGAGGAAGAACGCCUAGCGGUUAAUACCCGCUAGGAAAGACAUCACUCGCAGAAGAAGCACCGGCUAACUCCGUGCCAGCAGCCGCGGUAAUACGGAGGGUGCAAGCGUUAAUCGGAAUUACUGGGCGUAAAGCGCGCGUAGGUGGCUUGAUAAGCCGGUUGUGAAAGCCCCGGGCUCAACCUGGGAACGGCAUCCGGAACUGUCAAGCUAGAGUGCAGGAGAGGAAGGUAGGAAUUCCCCGGGUGUAGCGGUGAAAAUGCCGUAGAAGAUCGGGGAGGGAAUACCAGGUGGCCGAAGGCGGGCCUUUCUGGGACUGACACCUGACACUGAAGGUGCGAAAAGCGUGGGGUAGCAAAACAGGGAUUAGAUACCCCUGGUAGUCCACGCCCGUAAACGAUGUCGACCAGCCCGUUGGGUGCCUAGCGCACUUUGUGGCGAAGUUAACGCGAUAAGUCGACCGCCUGGGGGAGUACGGCCGCAAGGUUAAAACUCAAAUGAAUUGACGGGGGCCCGCACAAGCGGUGGAGCAUGUGGUUUAAUUCGAUGCAACGCGAAGAACCUUACCUACUCUUGACAUCCUGCGAAUUCGGUAGAGAUACCUUAGUGCCUUCGGGAACGCAGAGACAGGUGCUGCAUGGCUGUCGUCAGCUCGUGUUGUGAAAUGUUGGGUUAAGUCCCGUAACG
rnacentral:rRNA from 1 species